AUACGGAGGGUGCGAGCGUUACUCGGAAUCACUGGGCGUAAAGCGCGCGCAGGCGGCUUGAUAAGUUGGAUGUGAAAGCCUACGGCUCAACCGUAGAACUGCAUCCAAAACUGUCAGGCUAGAGUGUGGGAGAGGAAGAUGGAAUUAGUUGUGUAGGGGUAAAAUCCGUAGAGAUAACUAGGAAUACCAAAAGCGAAGGCAAUCUUCUGGAACACUACUGACGCUGAGGCGCGAAGGCGUGGGGAGCAAACAGGAUUAGAAACCCUAGUAGUCC
rnacentral:rRNA from 1 species